rnacentral:rRNA from 1 species
AUGGCGGAGUGGCGCCAGCGCCACCCGGAGGACGUCGCCUACGAGCAGGCCUACUGGGCAAGGCGCCGCGAGGAGGACACGCGAAGGCACCGCGAGACGCGGUUGGAAAGGCGUCAGCGGAAGGCGUUGGUGAAUGCGCAGUCCGACAUCGUUGCAGCAGGUGGGCAGUCGUUCUUCACGCCGAACAAUGAUCGGUGGCUGGACAUCUGGCUAGACACCUUGGACGACACCGCCGAGGAUGAUAAUGGUGAUGAUGAUAGCGACUUAGAGUAG